GGUAGGGUGGCCGAGCGGUCUAAGGCGCUGGUUUUAGGCACCAGUCUCUUCGGAGGCGCGGGUUCGAAUCCCGCCCCUGCCA
rnacentral:tRNA from 1 species